rnacentral:piRNA from 1 species
AGAAUCAAGCAUGUCACGGAGGU